rnacentral:rRNA from 1 species
AUGGGCACGUCAAAUGUUCAUGGAAAUCUUCAUGACGUCUGCAUGGAGUAUUUGGAAAGAACGCAAUGGCAAGAUCUUCCAAGGGAUCCCACCGCCGCAUGCAUCCUGGGGAAGGAAGCGGUUGGCGGGAGGGACAUUUCAGCCCGCGCCCUUUCCCCACCUACUUCCGCCGCCGCCCGCCAUUGGUUUCGCCCGUCCGCCAUCGGCGAUUCCAGCCAAAUCUACGUGCGGAAUCGCGCCGCGGGGGUGUCCCCCACCCUCCACCACCGAUACGCUGCACCGCCCCCCGGAUCCGGCGAGACGAGCCGCCCCUGGUCGCCGUCGCUGCCGGGGAUCGACCGCCCUCGAGCCGCCCCUAGUCGCCGCCCAGGAUCGCCCACCCCACGAGCCGCGAUGGAAUUGAGCCCAUGCAAGAAGUUUUUGCUCAACGAUUCGUCCGAUUCGGACGACUCAGAUGUUGAGACGCUGCUUGCAAACUAUCGGCAGCAGACGUUGGUGAUGGCUCUUGCCGUGAAGGAGCACGAAGACGAGAACCGAAAGAGAUGGCGAGGAUCGACAUCGGGCGUCUUUGCAUUCCUAGGAAUCUCCAUCUCGGAAAUGAGAUUUCUACCUUCAUCCAACGGAAGCAGUAGUAGUGUUCUCAGGUUUGGUAGCUUUUUCUCUGUACAAAAAGGUAGCAAGGUUCAACUAUCCAAGCCGACUUGGCAGCUGGGGCACCGGUCCAUCCUGGAGCGUUGGCCUUGCCCUAAUGAGGUUGGGCAACUCGGCUCCAUGAUGCUCCCUAGAUGGCUUCCUUCGAUGGCCGGUCAACGUGGUCUUUUCUUUGUUGCCUGCCGUUGGAUCGUCGCUGUGAUUCAACCUCUGCCGUUUUCACCGCGCGGUCGUUUUGGCGCGGCCAAUGACCUCCUAACCUGCCGCGCCGCGUGGGCGCGCUUUGUGUUGCGGGGGAGCCGCGGAAGGUGCUGCCCCCGGUCCCGCUCAUCAGCUGUGGUGGCUCAUUUCUCGUAUAUAGCGUAUUUUCUGGUUACCUCGGUCAACCGCGCCUGGCGCAGCGCUCCUCACGCGCUUCCCGCGUCCUGCGUCGUGGGGAGUUGCUGUGUCCCGCGUCAGCUGCAGAGUGGUGGGUCGACACAUUGCGCGUGUAUGCCUUUCCCGUGCGCGGUGUUGCGUCUCGUCUGCAUUUGCAGUUGGAGACAGAAGAUGGACUGCAGCUACUCGAUGCAUCGUGCGUGCCUCACCUCCAUCUGCACUUGGACAGAGAGAUGGACUGGCGCCUAUGACGCCAUGGUCGACUCCGCGGCCGUCGCCGUCGGCGAGCCCGGGUGCACGGUGGCGCUCACGGACCACCACUGCUGCGUCGACGCUUCAGCGAGUCCUGCGACCGAGCCGAGGGCCUCGUCCAGGUGGCCGCCGCCGGCCUCGGCCCCGCCGCCUCCCGCCACAACGAGCUGUUCCGCGCGCUCGUGGACCUCCACCGCUGCCUCGACGCCUUCAGCGAGUCCCGCGACCGAGCCAAGGGCCUCGUCCAGGCGGCUGCCAUGGCCCCGCCGCCUCCCACCACGACAAGCGGUUCCGCGCCGUGCGCGUGGUCGACGAAGAUCUCCGGGCCGCCGCUGCCGGCUGGGAGGAGAACGAGAUGGAAGAGGAGAAGAAUCGCCCUCCGACCACGCUGCUGGCAGCCGAGGACAAAUAGGCCAAUCGAUCUACCUCGUCUCCUAUUCAGGAGAGAUGGACCGGGAUGUUUUGCCUCGGCGUGCCACAUGGUGGCCGAGAUGCGGCAGCCCCAUGCUCUGUUCUGAUGGGCCUCCUCUGGUCGAUGGUUGCCGCUGGUUGAGUUUGGUACGGUUUCCUGUUGUCGCUUGCGUCGAGCCCUGGGUCCGUCUCUCCUUCUCAUUGAGCUUGUUCUACGAUUCAGCCUACUUCUCCUGUCGCUGGCGCUUCUUCUUAUCGUCCGUCCUGCUGCUUAACCAGCGUGCUUCUGCUUGCUGCCUCGGGUUGUACGAUCUCUUCUGUCGCUGCGUCGUUCGACUCAUCAAGGUUUUCUUCUUUCCUUUCUACUACAUGAUGUGUAUUCUUGUUUCCGUUGUUAUACCAGUUUUGGAGGCCGUGGUAACUCGAUGCCCCCCGCGCUCACUCUUUCUGUUGUACACAGAAGCGUAUUUGUCCAAUUCUCAGACUAAGUUUUUGAAAGAAACCGCAGUUCAUUACAAUGCCAAUUAUGGAUAUGGAUCCAUCUUGCUGUGCUGGAUGAAGGACUGGAUGUCACGACUGAUGAAGUUACUUCCUUUUGGUGAAGGUCUGAAUAUCAUCAGGGUCUUGGCUGAGAGGCUGACAUUUCGGAAGGCCAAAAAGGCGGAGACGAGUCAUGGAUCCUCCAGGCUAUGGCUGCUGGUUGCAGACAGGGUUAUCUUUAGCUUGGAAAAAAAUGAAUGGACGAGCUUCAGUAUGACAAGGAGAAAGCAAUCUUGUUCAGUUUUAAUCAGAACAGAUGAAGGACAACCAUAUAUAUGUGUGGUUUCUGAUAUGUGCCGAGCAUGUUUUGAUAGGAUAUUUUCUAUGUGGAGCAGUCAUGGGCCUGUUAUAGAGAUCUUGGUGAAGAACUCGUCACUGCAAUUUUGUCAAAUGGGCGUUGAGAUUGAAGUUUCUGCUUUUGUUGACUUUCUGAUAAAUUACAACAACAUCGACAAGUCUCCAUGGAAGCAUCAGCCGGAUUUGGCCGGCUCACAUACGCACGCCUCCUCUUUCCCUGGUGGCUCAUGGAAGCGGCGGCGUACGAUGAUGGCUUCCAUAUGGAGUAGAGGAAUCAUCACAGAUGGUUCUUAUGUUACAUGUCCAAAGGAGAGCAUUGUUUCACGGAAGCAUGGGAUAACACCCACGCCAGUGACCAGUGAAGAAAGGGCUCAUGAACAAGAUGAAUAACUUUCAACCAUUUUAUGUUUACAGGGAAAGACACUUUUUGUUAAAUUAGUCUUGUCGAUUUUCGUCUGUGUUAUUGUAUUCUAUCUCUUCUAUUAUAUCCAAAUCACUAUAUGAUGUAAUUGACCACUCUUAUUAAGAACUGGGCACAGUGGUUUAUGUGUAUAUACAUCUAUUGUAGAUAGCAAGCCCCCGCUUUCCUCAACUAAGAGAG